UAGAUUAGAAACUUUUAUGCAAAAGGAUGUUCAAAGGAAUGUACUUUGAGUGAGAGACAUCAUAUCUAAGGAAUUGUCUUGUAACAAUCUCCGAUAGAGGACUUUGUAAUUUCAUUGGCAAUAGUCUUUGUGACUUUGGUGCAGUGACAUUACGAAAGGAUCAUUGCAUAAAAUGUUAGAAUCUAACAUAUUCCAUAAGUGGCAGGAAUUCGAUAUUCUUUCACUUAUGAAAAAGGAUUAGGAGUUGUGAAAUGAGAAUGAUUGGAAAUGUGUUCAAUUUGAUCUAUUUCACAAAGUAAGAACCAUAUGUAAACAUUGUGUGCAUGCUAAGAGCAUGGGACAAGUGUGAUAAUUCAAGUAAGAAGUUGAUUAACCGAAACAACAAAUAAUGAGUAAUCGAUAUGGUGAUAAAUAAAAGGUGUUUUAUUUAUACUCAAACGUUUGAGGCCAUAUGGGAUUAGUAUUAUUCUUGUGUUUCACUUUGCAUGUUUUCACUUCCUGGAUAAUUUAAUUGGUUAAGAACAGUCAAAUUAUUCGAAUGGGCCACAGUCAUUCUUAUGUUGGAAGUAGGUAUGAAUGAAGAUUGUCGUGAAUUGGUGUGUGGAUUGUCUAAAGAGUAUUAGACAUAAGCAAAUGUUUGCUACAACGUUCAUGAGUGCUUAUGAAUAUGAUUUGAGCAUUUGAUUAACCCACGCUCACUUGGAUCACUCGAUGAAUUGUAUCACACGUGAUUGGUGAUGUCACACCCCGAAAACCAAAGGCGGAAACAUUUCCGGGGUUGACUCCACGUUGAGUAUCAAAUCCAAUGCACAUAGUAAAACAGUAAACACAAAACAUUACAUUACAUAAUUUUGUUUACAUCUGUUUGAAAGAAAAGUUAUACAAGUGUUAUACAUAUAUCAUAUGAACAAAAGUAAAGACGAGUCUUCGGAACGCUCCGUCUUCUCCAAAAGGUGGCGGUGUACCUGUCUAACGCUGACCUGAGAAUACAAGCGGUUUGAAAAUCAGCAUAAAGCUGGUGAGUUCAUAAGCGGUUUAGUUUUGAAAAGAACGAGUUUCCUUUGCUUUCCGAAAAAGUUGUUGUUCAAGAAAAUCCCAUAUUUUCUUAUGAAAACAGUUUAGUUAUCUUUUGUUACAAAUUCGAAAACGGUUUGUUAUGUCAUUCCAGGAAAAUCCCAUAUUUUCCUAAUAGUUUAGUUAUUCGUUUGUUACUUUAUUCGUUUCUAAUUUCGUUACUAGUUGUUAUGUUACUUCAGGAAAAUCCCAUAUUUUCCUAUGUGUUGAGGUUGGUUCUUAAGUUUAAUUUCGAAGUACUAAUGAUUACCAUACUCGUAGUAUUAGUUAAGUAUUCUAAACUCUUAGUUAUUCUACAUUUGAAUGUCUAUCAUCUACUAACUUAGUUGUAUUUUCGAAUAUUUGGAUUCACCAGAAACGUACAUUACAGUAUGUUCAAUUAUUCUGAUGAUUUCCAAAAGAGUACAUUAGUUGUAUUUUCAUAUCUCUGGCGACAUUCUAAGGCGGAUGUAUUCGAAACUCAGUAGAGGUCCAGAGGCCUACUUUCGUAUUAAAUUCGAAACUCUGGUGACAUUCAAGGCGUACACUAACUGUAUAUUCGAAGUCUUGGUGUCAUCCAAAGGCGUUAUUUCGCAUUCGUAGUCCUAUUUCUAUUCGUAUUCAUAUUCGUUCUAUCCUAUUAGACAUAUUCGUAUUCGCAUUCGUAUUCGUACUACCCUAAUAGUUAUAUUCGUAUUCGUAUUCGUACUAUGCUAUUGGUUACAUUCAUAUUCGUAUUCGUAUUCGUAUUCAUACUAUACUAUUGGUUACAUUCGUAUUCGUAUUCGUACUAUACUAUUAGUUACAUUCGUAUUCGUAUUCGUAUUCUAGUUCGUAUUCGUAUUCACAUUCGUUCUAUUAAUCUUAGUUAUGAUUAGUAUGAUUUCUUCUACAAAAAGUAAUAUAGAUCAAAACACUUUUUAAAGAAAUCUGGCUUUAGUCUAACUAUUUAACCUGCAAUUCGAACCAUUAGUUAUCACAAUUUUCAUUAUUAGAAUCAUACAUGAAAUAAAACAUUUGAACUGAAAAUACGUUUAAGUACAAGAUUCCUUGUACUUUAGCUUGUAUUCCCCCCCUAAAAACGUUGAAAACCAUUUGAAAAACACAAGAAAAAGGGUAGGGGUAUGAACUCACCAGUUGAGAAACGCGUUAGAUUGGAUCCUAAACGUCAGUUCUGGGUUCGCGAACACACAAGUUUCCUAUGGAUUAUGAAAUGAUACAUAUUUGUAUUUAAUUAGGACUUGAUUAAUUUAUUUGCCAACGACAUACACUUCUAGUUGCGGAAACACCCCAUUUUGAGUGUUUGGAAGGACCCAGGUGGCGUUUAAGGACUAGUAUGACUAGGGAAUGGAGUUUACUCUUAAAGAGUAAACUCCUAAAGGAGUUUAAUGCCCUAAACACCCCAUCCGCAUGAGUUCACGGCCGUGAACUCAUGGAGGGUGAUUUUGGGUGCAAAAUGGCUUCAUAACAAUCGGGAAUAAUUGCUAGACUUGGAUUUUUGGCUUUGGAAUGGAUUAAAACUCACAAAGGGACCAUUUAUUGGAGUUUACGGCUGUAAACAUGGAGUUUACGGCCGUAAACUCCCCCCUCACACAAGAUCCUUGAUGUUUUGGUCCUAAAUCAAUCACAUGUGAUUCUAAUGAUUUUUCCUAAGCCUUAUAUGGAUUUUUGAGGGACUUUUGGCAUGUUUUUACGAGUUUACGGCCCAUGAACACCCUCAUGGCCGUGAACUCUUAUGAAAGGGUGAUUUUAUAUGUUUUAAGGUCUAAUACUUGUUUGUAAACACUUCUAGAAUUUAUCCCAAGGCUUUAGGUGUGUUAAUGUGGCAUUUUAACACAUUUAGAGGAGUUUACUCUCCAUUUUAAUGAGUUUACGGCCCAAGCUUGUUCUUGGGCAGUAAAAUCAAGUUUACUCCUCUAAAUUGAUGUUCAAUGUGUUCCAAGGCCAAUUCCAUAAUUCUAUAAGUCGUAUCUAAGCCUUAUUGGUGUUUUGGAAGGGUUUAAGGGCUUAAAAACCCAUUUAAUAUGUGUUUACUCUCCAUGAUAUGGAGUUUAUGGCUCAAGCAUGAUCUUGGGAAGUAAACUCAUGUUUACUCUCCAAAAAUUAAGUUCAAGGUGUUCUAAGUCCAGUCCAUUAAGCCAUUAAGCCAUAUCUAAGCUCCAAAGGUCGAUUGGAAGGGUUUUGGGGCUCCAAAACCCAUUUUAUGUGAGUUCACGGCCUAGGACUGUUCUAGGGCUGUAAACUCAUGAAUGUGGUCCUAUUCCAUGAUUUGAACUCGAAUUUGAAGGCUAGAGGGGUUGCAUAACAAGUUAGGGAAGGUACCUUGGUGAUUAGAAGCCUUAAAUUUGAGAUUUGGACCCUUAAACUUGGAAUUAGGAUAGAGGUUAGAGAGAGAGUAGAGAGAGGAAGAAAAAGCUUCAAAUGAAUGUUUAAACAUGUUUAAAUAGGUCCAAAAACUUGGACACGAUGAAAUUCUACCCGAUACCGGCAUUAAAUGGGGUUUUUGGUCGCACCCGAUUAAGUUGCCGUUACCCGAUGGGAUAGAAUUUAGAAAUUUCAAGUGAAUGAUUUUGGGCCAUUUUUAUGAGUUUUAAAUGGAUUUGAACACUUACGAGAUUAAAAUAAACUUAUAGUUUAUAUAUCUUAGCCCAAAAACGAAAACGGAACGAAUCGAUAAAGGCGGAUUUUUACGCGCGGAACGGAUUUCGGCGAUGGACAACUUCGGGUUGUUACAUUAUCCCCCCGUUAGAGGGAAUUUCGUCCCGAAAUUCAAAGGUUACGAUACAGCUCAUGAAAUGAAAAGAGAUGCGGGUGGAUCAGCUGCUCCGGGUUUUCAUGCUCCCAAGUGGCAUCGAGUCUCCGCUUGACGUUCCAGUGAACCGUCACUAUCGGGACGCGUUUUGGAUUCAUUGGGUAGAUACUUCUUAAAGACCGAGACAUGAAGUACCAUUUGGAUGUUACUAAGUUCCGAGGGUAGCCGAAGUUUGAAGGUUACGGAAUCGUUCCUACGAGGAUCGCGAAGGGUCUAAUGUUACUAAAUUACAGGUUUCUAUAGGUAUCUCUGGUGCCGACUAGUUCCCUAUCGUCUUAGCUUUUGGAAGGUUCAUGGGUAUGACUGCUUUGCUUAUCUACAUAACCAGGGAAAAUGGUUUGACCGAAAGGUACCAGUACGAACUCGUGGUGAUCAUAUCAGAUCCUGAUUGCAGUAUUGGAUAUAUCAUCUUCCCAGAGGUUCGGCUACGAGAUAGUUCCAAGAAUUAGGUUAAUACGAGGCUUGACAAGACGUUCUGAAGGAANGAUCCUGAUCGCAGUAUUGGAUAUAUCAUCUUCCCAGAGGUUCGGCUACGAGAUAGUUCCAAGAAUUAGGUUAAUACGAGGCUUGACUAGACGUUCGGAAGGAAUUCUCGAGGAUUCUUGGGAAAGGCAUCGGGGAAAGAGUUGCAGACUUCCUGUUUCCCGAAUAUCACACGAACGGGGAAUGUAUGGGAAACUUUCUAAGCUUUGAUGCACGAAGAUGCGAAGGCUGGAUUUAGGUUUGAUGUCGAAGAUCAUGAGAGUCAGGUCAGAGAAAAGAUUCGGAUGGACGAACCUUUCGAGAACAAGAAUAACAGCAUGAAUGAGACUCAGUCAUUCCAAUCCUAGAUUGCAUCAAAGCUUUGCAUUAAAAGUUUAUCAUUAGAUCGAGUGGAAAGGAAUAAUUAUCCGAAUUGAGGAUACGAUCUAUAGGUAUGACGUUAACAUUCUCUUUCUCACUGGUUGGUCAUCUCGACGGUACAUGUUUCAAUUACUAACGAAGGAUUUAGUUUAGAAAGAUAUUUGAAUGAAUGGUUAGCAAAUUCUUACAGCAUUAGAAUCGAAAAGGGUUAUGGGCACAAGAUUCAUCGAGGAGGAGUAUACCUGUGGCAACGGUGGGGUCAGCGGCUGUCCUUUCUUGUCCCAUAGUUAGGACUCUCCCAGUGUUUCCAGAUGUUACUGUCUUAGGACAAUUUUGUUUAUAAUGCCCGACCUCUCCACAAUUGUAGCAGGUUUGACCGAUACCAGCUCUGGAAGCUUGACUAGUUGAUGGGAUUGGGGUUUUGCAGCUUCGCACAAGGUGACCUUCCUGGCCACAACUUUUACAAAACUUUGCACGAAAAGGGCCAGAGAUGUGAUGGUGCUAACUACACCGAUCACACCACGGGAGGUUACCGGCAUAUCCGGUGACAGGUGCAUGGGAUGAGGAACCUACAAUAGAUACAACAACAGGGGUAGUGGCAGCGUGGACUACCACUAUUUGUUGUUUCUUCGAGGGUUCUGGGGAAGACUGCCUCUUCUUCUUCUUUUUCCAAAACUUUCUUUUCUCGCCACUCUUUUCUGUUGGCUCGGAAGUGGUGUCUGCUUCCUCUUGGUCAUCAUUGUGAUCGAUUAGGGUUUCCGCUAGACAUUUGGCGCUGUCAUAGGAAUCCGGCUUCACUGCUAUAACGUUCCCUUUUGUUGGCUGGGUUAAUCCCCAGAUGAACCUCUCUACCUUUUUGCUCUCCGGGGUAACCAUUCCCAGAAAAAGCAGUGCUAAGUCAUCAAAUCUGGAUGUGUAGGCGGCGAUAUCGGAACCUUUCAUUUUCAGGUUCUAAAGUUCAUGCUCCAGCUUCAGGAUUUCACCCCGACGGAAAUACUCCGCGCGCAGUAGUUCCUUCAUAACUUCCCAUCCCAUAGCAUUGGCUACAGGUAGAGUCAAGGAUUUGACUCGGCCGUUCCACCAAGUCAAAGCUUUAUUGAUGAGCGUACAAGCGGCAAAUUUUACCUUGUCGGAUUCCAAACAGGCACAAAUCUCGAAGAUAGAUUCGAUUUUCUCUAACCAUCGAGUUAGAGCAAUGAAACCCCCUGUGCCAUCGAAGAAUGUGGGUUUUGCGUUCAUAAAGUCUUUGUAGGAACACUCCUUCCGGUGUCCUUGAUUACCUUCCGGGUUUUGGGUUUGAGUACCACCCCCUGAACCACUAGGGUUUAGCUGAGAUAGGGUGGCUGAUAUUGUGGCAGAAAUGGUUGCCCGAAGUGUUUCCAGAUCAAUUUGAAUAGGAGGUGGUGGCGGCAGAGGGUUGUUGGUGUUCUUCGAGCUAGGUCUUUUCCUCGGAGGCAUCUUGAUCUAAAAAGAUCAGGAAAGGGAGGAUCAUAAGUCCUCUGAAUUGAAUCAUGAGAUAUGGAUCAGGGGAUAUCUCAUCAAGACAGAUAUAACAUUAUAUUAAGCGAUAAGGCAGGAAAGAGUUAUCAAGGCAGAUAAUUUUAUCGCUAGAGGAAUGAUCAAGGAACAAAGUGUAUACGAGGAUUUCUACAAAGGAUCGACUCGAGAAAUACUCCCAUAGUAUUUCAUGGUUCGCUGCAACGACGGCUCGUUGUUUGGGGUAUUGGGUAAGUUUUAGGUAUGCUGCGUACCACAGUCACUCCCAAGCACAUGUUGGCCGUGUCUCAAAUGAAUAUAGUUGGCCAGGCUAUAUUGAUCCUAGACACGACUACAUAACUGCCCAGGUUUAACCGCAGCGUACAACACCCAUUUACUUAUAUUUUGUUCUACUUGUAGUUACGGAUUUCGACAGUUCGGGUAUACUUGUAUACUUUAGAAAAUACUUAUAUUUGUAGAGUAUACUUUUAGUUCAGAGCACUUAGGCCCCUUAAUGUUUAUAGUCUUAUACCAUGUAAGAUUUGGUAUACUAGUUCACUAUAAACAAGGGCUCUGAUACCAAUCUGUCACACCCCGAAAACCAAAGGCGGAAACAUUUAUGUGGUUGACUCCGCGUUGAGUAUCGAAUCCAAUGCACAUAGUAAAAAAGUAAACACAAAACAUUACAUUACAUAAUAUUGUUUACAUCUGUUUGAAAGAAAAGUUAUACAAGUGUUAUACAUAUAUCAUAUGAACAAAAGUAAAGAUGAGUCUUCGGAACGCUCCGUCUUCUCCAAAAGGUGGCAGUGUACCUGUCUAAUGCUGACCUGAGAAUACAAGCUGUUUGAAAAUUAGCAUAAAGCUGGUGAGUUCAUAAGUGGUUUAGUUUUGAAAAGAAAGAGUUUCCUUUGCUUUCCGAAAAAGUUGUUGUUCAAGAAAAUCCCAUAUUUUCUUAUGAAAACAGUUUAGUUAUCUUUUGUUACAAAUUCGAAAACGGUUUGUUAUGUCAUUCCAGGAAAAUCCCAUAUUUUCCUAAUAUUUUAGUUAUUCGUUUGUUACUUUAUUCGUUUCUAGUUUCGUUACUAGUUGUUAUGUUACUUCAGGAAAAUCCCAUAUUUUCCUAUGUGUUGAGGUUGGUUCUUAAGUUUAAUUUCGAAGUACUAAUGAUUACCAUACUCGUAGUAUUAGUUAAGUAUUCUAAACUCUUAGUUAUUCUACAUUCGAAUGUCUAUCAUCUACUAACUUAGUUUUAUUUUCGAAUAUUUGGAUUCACCAGAAACGUACAUUACAUUAUUUUCGAUUAUUCUGAUGAUUUCCAAAAGAGUACAUUAGUUGUAUUUUCGUAUCUC
rnacentral:lncRNA from 1 species